GUUGGGUAAAUUACAUCAGAAUUGGCCUGCUGGCUUGGUGGUUAAAUGGUGUGUUAUUAUGGUGGAGGUCUUGUGUUCGAAUCCCUAUGUAGGAAAGGGUAUUAUUUUUUUUGCUCAGAUUUCGGGAUAGAGUUGUGUAAUAGGGGGAUUCUGAGUAGUGGAUUUGUAGUGGGAAUUAGAGGAGAAGAUUAAGGGAUUUUGGGGGUUAUCGGGAUUUUAUUUUAUUUUUUUCCCAACACUGAAUUUUGACUCUCUUUUCCAAAAAAAGUUUGUCGUCUAUUCUUCUCCCUCUCUUCUUGG
rnacentral:lncRNA from 1 species